CCUACGGGGGGCAGCAGUGGGGAAUAUUGGACAAUGGGCGAAAGCCUGAUCCAGCCAUGCCGCGUGUGUGAAGAAGGUCUUCGGAUUGUAAAGCACUUUAAGUUGGGAGGAAGGGCAGUUACCUAAUACGUGAUUGUUUUGACGUUACCGACAGAAUAAGCACCGGCUAACUCUGUGCCAGCAGCCGCGGUAAUACAGAGGGUGCAAGCGUUAAUCGGAAUUACUGGGCGUAAAGCGCGCGUAGGUGGUUUGUUAAGUUGGAUGUGAAAUCCCCGGGCUCAACCUGGGAACUGCAUUCAAAACUGACUGACUAGAGUAUGGUAGAGGGUGGUGGAAUUUCCUGUGUAGCGGUGAAAUGCGUAGAUAUAGGAAGGAACACCAGUGGCGAAGGCGACCACCUGGACUAAUACUGACACUGAGGUGCGAAAGCGUGGGGAGCAAACAGGAUUAGAUACCCCUGUAGUC
rnacentral:rRNA from 1 species